rnacentral:rRNA from 1 species
UACGGAGGGUGCAAGCGUUGUUCGGAAUCACUGGGCGUAAAGGGCGUGUAGGCGGUCCGCUAAGUCUGAUGUGAAAGCCCGGGGCUCACCCCCGGAAGGGCAUUGGAAACUGGCGGACUCGAGUCUCGGAGAGGAAGGUGGAAUUCCUGGUGUAGCGGUGAAAUGCGUAGAUAUCAGGAGGAACACCAAUGGCGAAGGCGGCAUCCUGGACCGGCAUUGACGCUGAGGAGCGAAAGCCAGGGGAGCAAACGGG